AGGGGUUGAUCGAUUAACACGAUGAUGGAGUGCACAUGAAAAUAGGGUUGGAGCCUUCGCACUGAGGUCACCAAGGUGUAGGCGAUCUUCUCCACCUUGGGGUACCUGAUGUUGGCAUCUCUUAGUACCCGACUUGUGUAGUAAAUAGGCUUCUGUGCUCCUCCUUUCCAGAUAAGGACCGAGUUGAUGGCUAUGAAGAAAAUUACAAGGUACAGGUAGGAUCUGGUCAAGAGCACGGUCGAGGUGAGGUAUUUUCAAAGCUGAUCAAAGAUUUCCUCUAGUGCCAUUCUGUUGUGGUUUGGAAUCGGAUGACUCAGAUGGCUGGGUCGAUCUCUGCUCCCGCAUGUGUGAGAUAUUGUCCGCUUUGGCCAC
rnacentral:lncRNA from 1 species